rnacentral:tRNA from 1 species
GGCUUGGUGGUGAAAUUGGUUAAACACGCUUUAUAUUAGAUGGAAAGUACAUUACAGGUUCGAGCCCUGUCCAAGCCG